AUUACGCACGAUGUAUUACAAUCUGGUAAACAAUUUUUUCAAUAAGUUUUAAACAAAAAAUUAUCAGCUGGUAUAAAUAGAGCAUGCAAGCGGUCAAAAUAUUAAUUUAAUCACAUUGACAUUAAAUAUGAAACUCUUGCUUGUUGGGAUUGUGUGCGUUUGUCUUUAUGGCAUUGUACUGAGUUGUACUAAAUGUAAUUUACACAGUGAUGACUGUUCCUCACACUGUCAAAAUGGAGGGGCACCCCAUUGCCAUUAUUAUAAUAGCACCACUAACUGCUGUUUCUGUGAAGUUCCAAUUGAAUGUCAUCCAAGUAAUGCUACUGUUGCUUGUCCUGCAAAUUGUGUUUGUGAACCGGAAGGGGAACAUCACCACUGCAUGUGUCCAGAAUAAAGGUGACGAAUGACAAAACAGGUUACAUGCAGAUUCAGACCUACAGCAAUGUUUUUAUUAAGGAUCGCUCUCAUUAGUAAUAGACGACGAUUAGCAAUGUUUUUAUGUGUAGCUUCUUGGAUAAUCUUGUAAGACUUCUAAAAUCAUAGAUUUCAUAGUUAUUUUAAAACUUUACAGAAGCUGAAGGUACUUUCGUAAAUAUACUAGAUUGUGUAUUUAAUGUGUUUGGUAAUUUAAUUGUAUUUAUAUGUUGUUACAUAAAAGCAUGCAUUAAUAAAAAUUUAUU